CCGAAAAAUUAAUUCGGUUCCGUUUUAAUGGGUUCUUCUCUAUUAUAUAAUUGUUUUUUUUUUUCAUAUGAAUACUUACUUUAGAUGUCGAUUCAUUGUUUGAAAUCAACAUAUUUUAUGGCGUAAUGAACAAACAUAGAACUGUAAAUAUACUUACAUAAAUUAUUAUGAGGAAAUGUGUAUACAGGGCUGUCUUAGUCCCGAUUGACUCAGGAAUUAAUAUGUUCCUGCUAGUGCCUCAGCCUCUUCUAUAUCAUCAGGUAGUUUGCAAUCAAGGGUUUCUGGUAACUUCAAACACAAAACUGCUCCUAUUAAUGGUAAUAUUCCAAAUAUGACUGAUGGAAUCCACGGCUCAACUAUGCCUGCUACAAAAGGUGCUAUCAUCGAUCCUAUUCUAGCACACAUUGAUGCUGUGCCUACACCUAUGUUUCUUACUAUUGUUGGGAAUAGUUCCCCCGAGUAAAUGUAUACCGUGGGAAAAGAUAAUGCCAGGCCAAACAUCCCUAUUGAUGAUAAAGUCGUUUUAAUCCAACUUGGAUCUGUAGGUACAAAUCCUGAAAAUGAAAAAUUUAUUCGUUAUAAAACCAUAUAAUUUUAUCAAUAAAUAUUGAUGUGAAAAAACGUUGGAGUGGAAGAUUAGACAAUCUCAAAGAAGCUCCAACUUUGAAGAUGUUGGUAUAUGUGCUACGCUACGCAUUCUGUGCGCCUUGCGUUUGCCAGAACGCGUUGUGGCUGUUCUGAUAUAGCUAUAACCCGUGUAUUAAACAUUACAUAGCAAUAUUAUAAGAUCUUUAAGUACCUAUUUGUCAAUAAAAGUUUAAAAUGUA